rnacentral:rRNA from 1 species
AGUGUACGCUGGCGGUAGGCCUAACACAUGCAAGUCGAACGGCAGCACAGUAAGAGCUUGCUCUUACGGGUGGCGAGUGGCGGACGGGUGAGGAAUACAUCGGAAUCUACUUUUUCGUGGGGGGUAACGUAGGGAAACUUACGCUAAUACCGCAUACGACCUACGGGUGAAAGCAGGGGAUCUUCGGACCUUGCGCGAUUGAAUGAGCCGAUGUCGGAUUAGCUAGUUGGCGGGGUAAAGGCCCACCAAGGCGACGAUCCGUAGCAGGUCUGAGAGGAUGAUCAGCCACACUGGAACUGAGACACGGUCCAGACUCCUACGGGAGGCAGCAGUGGGGAAUAUUGGACAAUGGGCGCAAGCCUGAUCCAGCCAUACCGCGUGGGUGAAGAAGGCCUUCGGGUUGUAAAGCCCUUUUGUUGGGAAAGAAAAGCAGCAGGUUAAUACCCCGCUGUUCUGACGGUACCCAAAGAAUAAGCACCGGCUAACUUCGUG